AGAACAGUAUUGAGAUUCAUCCUCAAUGAAGGUCUCUAAGUUUCAAUUACAGAAUUGAAUUUCCUCAAUUUUUUAAAACUUACUAGUAUUUUUUUUGGUAAUUUCAUGUAUGUAUUUAAUAUGUUUUGAUUAAUUACCCCACCCUUGAUGAGGUUCCUCCCAGCUUUGCCAGCUUCUCGCUACAUUUACUCUUUUCCCACAGUCAUGACUUUUGUUCCACUUUGAAUUUAACUCAUGCUGUCUGUGUGGCCCGGGAUGUGGACCUGUCUUCUGCAGCCUGUGAGCUCAGCAGUGGGUGAGAUAUGAAGCUUUACAAGCUCUAUGCUCAGCUCCCCCAUCCGACGUCCUGAGCUGUGAAAACUGGACCACUCUCUGUGAGAAACUGACCACGUUUGUCUGAUCCAGAUCCUAUGUUCACUGACCGGAUUUUAAAGUUCUACGCGCAGACUUUUACACUCUCACCGCUACACAUGACCAAGGAAAUUUAUACAAGCUUAGCUAAAUAUCUGGAGUUAUAUUUUCUUUCUAGAGAAAAUCACCUUCCUACUCUUUCAAGUGGAGUAGAUAUAACUAGCCCCAAUGUGACCCGCUUACUGAAAAAGGUCCGCCUUCUGAACGAGUAUCAGAAAGAGGUUCCGUCUUUUUGGAUUCGUCACCCAGAGAAGU
rnacentral:lncRNA from 1 species